GGGGGUGUUCCGGAUUCGAUCUUAAUCAAGAGGGCACGACGGCACGCGGAGGAUGAUACUUGGCCUCCUAAAUCAUGUAUCGCUAUGAUAAAUGGCAAAACGACUAACGUCAUCGCCUUCGAGCGUAACAGCUCCCUGGCACUCGCUGCUUAAGUCAGCGACGGUCACCACAGCACACUCCUGCUAAGCUGUCGGGCCGUCUAAAAAGCAGGAAACACCUCACGGUUUCACCGGGUUUUUUGAGGUAAAAUAAAAGACGUGGUUGGUCUGCGCGGGCGCUUCCGCCCCAAGGCAGGCGAGACACAAACGGAAAGCUAAGCGUGUAGAAAUCGUGUUCAGCAGAUUGAGAGACGCGGGUUCAACUCCCGCCACCUCCACCA
rnacentral:tmRNA from 1 species